GCAKAGAUGGCUGAGAUGGUUGAUAGYGCCGGAUAUUGUCAAAUGGUAUAAUUUCUCUUAGCCAACGAUAAAAUGCUCG
rnacentral:tRNA from 1 species